CCUCAGGACCAGCCCGGAAGUCUCUCCAAGAGCCCCAAAGUCCAGGAAUCCCCACCAAAGGAUUCAGAAACAGCGCCCACAGUCCGGGGCCCCUCUGAACGGUGCUGUGGGAUGAGCUGGUGGAGACUCUGAAGGUCAUUGAACUUGCAAAAGAAUGAGGCCAAGUCUUCAGGAAGCUCCGAAGUGUGAAUCAGGAAUUCUCCACACCAGUGAUGCUGAUCGGCUUCCUAGUCUCUCAAUAUGCCCAGUGUAUCUGCCCUGAGGAACUUACACAUGCCCAAGAAGCCUUCCUGUCUCCUCUCUGUUUACCUAAAUACUUCCUCACUUUCCCACCCGUGGCCAUCCUCACACCAACUCCUUUACAACUGGAUGGUUCUGUUCAUCCAGGCCCUGGCCUGGGCUGCUCUGUGGCGGUGACCUCUUUGGGAACAUGCCUGGUCUCCCCAGGUAGCAUCAAGCAGUCCGCAAAUACUGAGGACCGUGCUCGUCUGGGCCGUGGGUGAGGGCGUGGCGUUAGGGCAGCGAGCCAGAGAAACCCACAGACUUUAUCCUAGUAGAGUCUACACCCCAGCAAAGCCUGAUGUGGGUGAAACAAGACUGUGAAGGCAUCGGGCUGCUGAAGAAACAAAUGUCAUGGGCACUUGGGUGGCUCAGUUG